ensembl:snRNA U6 U6 spliceosomal RNA
GUGCUCACUUUGGCAGCACAAACACUAAACAUCGGAACAGUAGAGAGAUCAGCGUGGGCCCUGUGCAAGGAUGACACACAACUUUGUGAACUGCUCUGUAUUUCG